AUUGAACGCUGGCGGUAGGCCUAACACAUGCAAGUCGAACGGCAGCACAGUAAGAGCUUGCUCUUACGGGUGGCGAGUGGCGGACGGGUGAUGAAUACAUCGGAAUCUACUUUUUCGUGGGGGAUAACGUAGGGAAACUUACGCUAAUACCGCAUACGACCUACGGGUGAAAGCAGGGGAUCUUCGGACCUUGCGCGAUUGAAUGAGCCGAUGUCGGAUUAGCUAGUUGGCGGGGUAAAGGCCCACCAAGGCGACGAUCCGUAGCUGGUCUGAGAGGAUAAUCAGGCACAAUGGAAAUGAGACAAGGUCCAGACGCCUAAGGGAGGCAGCAGUGGGGAAUAUUGGAAAAUGGGCGGAAGCCUGAACCAGCCAAGACGCGGGGGUGAAGAAGGGCUUCGGGUUGGAAAGCACUUUUGUUGGGAAAGAAAAGCAGCAGGUUAAUACCCCGCUGUUCUGACGGUACCAAAAGAAUAAGCACCGGCUAACUUCGUG
rnacentral:rRNA from 1 species